rnacentral:rRNA from 1 species
ACGGGUGAGUAACGCGUGGGAAUCUACCCAUCUCUACGGAGUAACGCAUGGAAACGUGUGCUAAUACCGUAUACGUCCUUCGGGAGAAAGAUUUAUCGGAGAUGGAUGAGCCCGCGUUGGAUUAGCUAGUUGGUGGGGUAAAGGCCUACCAAGGCGACGAUCCAUAGCUGGUCUGAGAGGAUGAUCAGCCACACUGGGACUGAGACACGGCCCAGACUCCUACGGGAGGCAGCAGUGGGGAAUAUUGGACAAUGGGCGCAAGCCUGAUCCAGCCAUGCCGCGUGAGUGAUGAAGGCCCUAGGGUUGUAAAGCUCUUUCACCGGUGAAGAUAAUGACGGUAACCGGAGAAGAAGCCCCGGCUAACUUCGUGCCAGCAGCCGCGGUAAUACGAAGGGGGCUAGCGUUGUUCGGAUUUACUGGGCGUAAAGCGCACGUAGGCGGACUAUUAAGUCAGGGGUGAAAUCCCGGGGCUCAACCCCGGAACUGCCUUUGAUACUGGUAGUCUUGAGUUCGAGAGAGGUGAGUGGAAUUCCGAGUGUAGAGGUGAAAUUCGUAGA